rnacentral:rRNA from 1 species
UAGGUAACCUGCCCUCGAGACCGGGAUAACCUUCCGAAAGGAGGGCUAAUACCGGAUGAGACCACGAGGCUCUGGCCUCGAGGUCAAAGGUGGCCUCUGCUCGCAAGCUACCACUCGAAGAUGGGCCUGCGUACCAUUAGCUAGUUGGUGAGGUAACGGCUCACCAAGGCGAAGAUGGUUAGCUGGUCUGAGAGGAUGAUCAGCCACACUGGAA